UUAAGGAGGUCAACCUCUACCUUAACCUUAGCCACUUAGGCCUAGAAAAUUUUGCAGUGGCAACAUCAACAUGCAAGAACCUCCAAUUGGCCUAACAAUUUGCUUUAAACAUGGAAUUGAGAAACAAUUGGCUUUUAAAUUAGGUAAUAACACCCACACAGGGGCCAAAAUGUCUCAAAUCGAGUAUCAAAAGCAGCAGUCCAUCGAAACAAUCGCAUAGGAUGUUUUCCAUUAGAAGAAAUUUGACCCUUAACUAAAAUAUCCACACAAUCAUUAGGAUUUGAGAAUGCUAAAAACACAUGUCUAGGAUCCAUCAGGCCAAUUUCCACAGUUCCACGAAGCACAAAAGUUUUAGCAAAAUAAGAUCUAAUUUCAGACAAAAGUGGUUUACCAUGAGAAAAUUUUCCAACUAACAUAAUAUUUUUAAUUUUAUUCAUCUGUUGGAUUUCAUUAUCCUCAAAAGUAAUGCAUGGUUCCCCACGAUGUGUUUCAACAAUUUUGUAAGAGAUAACUGGCACAGGAAUGUGACUGGAAAUAGACACAUUAUGACCACCCGGGUUCGAAGCUGUAAACAAUUGAGCAAAGGAAUGUACUUGUGUACUUGGAACUUGUGCAUUUGAACGAUUAAUGGGUUGUGAGGAGGGCUGAAAAUUAACCCUUUGUCUAACUGCAUUAUUUCAAUUAUUUUUUGUACUACCACCACGUGUAGCACUUGGUAAAUUGUUAGCAGUAUUGGCAUUAUCAACCGUAGGCAAAGUAGUACCCACAUUCGUAUUAUUUAAUGAACCCAAGUUAUGCACAGUAGGUAAAUUAUUCAAGCCAUGCACAUUGCUAACAACAUUAUUCAAACCAUUUCUAGUAAGAGCAACAUUGCUCACACCAUGCACGGUAGUUGAGGUAGAAUUAUUUGUAAUAGAAAAAUUACUAACAUUAGCAAUAUCACCAUGUGCAGCACUUAAUAAAUUAUUAGCAUUAUGAAUAGUACCCGUUAUAGGCAAUGUAGUAGGAGAAGAAUUGAAAUUAGAAGUCAAAUUAUUGCCAUUUUGGCUACCAACUGUAGCAUUACCUGAUCCUAUAGCAUUAUUGAAUGGAAGUGUUCCAUCCAUAUUGAGAGGCUGCCUCUCACGUGAGUUUGAUACAGCAACACCGUUGGGCAAUCCAUCAGAAUGCCACGUUUGCCCACAUAGAGCCAGUUCAACACCAGUGACACCAUCGUAGUUUCGUGCAUCACCUUGAGCCGACGUAAAAAUGAAUGGAGGAGGAAACUAUGAUCGAUCAUCACCGGUUGAGAAGCCAUCAACGCUGGACCUGGGUGAUGAUCGCUACUUUCCAAAGUUGUCGAAGGUGAAUGCGUCGCUACAGGGGGGUUAACGCCGGUCACAGUGCCGGUCUCCAAAAGCGAAAUUGAAGGAACCGUAAACCCACAGUGGCGGAGACCAUCAAGAAAACGUCGCAAGAUGGCAUCCGAUAAUUCAUGGGGGGAUUACUCUGUCGCGAUUCUUCUUGGGCCGAAGUCAUCGCCUAUGAAAAUUGUGACGAGGCACACUGAGUCUGUCGGAUGCCUUGUUAAACACUAAACAGGCCACUGUUCCUACCGUGUCUCCUGUUGCCCAACACACUAAAGCUUUGGUGGCAAAACGCACUCGGAGAACUCGGUCAGCGUCGGAGCAAUCUAACGUUGUGGGGUUCUACUAGGAGGCGUUAGAUGAUGAUAGUGAUUCAUCAAUGGUCGGUAGAGUUCUACAUUGAAUCUGCGGGGGACGCCAUAGGUCGUUUUCCAGGAGCCAUGGCUCGCCCCCUAAGAGUACUCAACUACUCAAGUGCCAUUUGGUGGCAGGGUCACUAGAUCUCAGGUACGUAAGGAGCAGAGUAGUGCGGCAGUUGGCACGCCUAUCUCUUCUCAAUCCCCUUCCUUUUAAACGAUGCGAUUUCUUGUUUGGAAUGUGCGGGGGAUUGCCUCGCCGUGGUUCUUUUCAAAGAUUGCAUGUGUUGCUUAGAAAACAUAGGCCUUUCAGUUUGUGUCUUCUUGAACCAUUUUGUGAUACUGAUAGGUUAGAUUCCUUUAGACUACGACUAGGCUUUGACUCUACUUUUGCUGGGGUAAAUGAUAAGGAAUGUAUGUUUUGGCCACUAAGCUUUGCAGGUUAAGGAAUGUUCUUGCUCCUUGGAGCAAGGAAACCUUUGGCAAUAAUAUUUCUAAGUUGCAGGAACUUGAGGAUUAGGUGCAAGUUUUGGAGGAGGUGGUGCAACAGAACCCAGAUGAUAGGGCCCUCAUUGACUAUAAGGAAAGUGUGGCUCUAUUGCAGAGACAAGUUUCUAUUGAGGAGGAAUACUGGCAACAAAAAGCUCACAUGGUGGUUGUUCAGGAGGGUGAUAGGAACUCUAAGUUCUUUCACUUGAUGGUAAAGGAGAAAAGGAGGAAACUCUACAUUCAUAAGGUUAAAGAUGACACAGGGCACUGGAUUGAGGAUAGCCAAGGGAUAGCACAACAAGUUGUCUCUUUUUUUGAGGUUAUGUUCACCGCGGAGAGGUGUGAAUCCUAAGAUGCAUACAUGUUAUGCACUAGGGACAUAUUCAUGUGAUUUGGUCAUUUCAAAACACUAAAUACUGUUUUAUCUACAAGUGCACCAAGUGGAGAAUGUUAACUAACUGAAGGUAAUUAAGUAAAGACUAGUUUCUUGUAUUGAUUGUGUCCUUACUUGGUCCAACUAUAUGUAUAUUUGAGAAGUUAAAAGUAUUGUCAUAAUAUCUUGAUUCACACAUAUUUAGGGAAUUGAAUGGACCAGAAAUUGCUAUA